CUCACCAUCUCUCUGUGACUAGGGACUGUCCCCUCUUCUGUGAGUUUUUAAAGAGUCUGAGAAUGGAGAAAAAGGACUCCGAAGCUUAUAAGUUUGAAGUUUGGCUGAGUACAAAAUUUCUCAAGUGAACAUUAUUUUCCCGCAUCCCUUUCAAGGCAACCACUGUUGUUGUAUUCAGAAUUACUAAGAGGAAAUCUGGGGAGAGUGCGAUUACAGGUCCUUUGCCCUUUCCUCUACAACCACUGAUGAAUGAGAAAUCUUGGAAAAGAAGCAAACUGGAAGUCAGGAGGGACAUGUCAAGGGAGUUGUGUAUUCCAUUUUUAAAAAUAAAGAAUCUACAAUUCAAAGAUUGUGCCAAAUCAGAGAAGAAAAGGAAAAUUGGUAAGAGUAAAUAGUAAGAGUAUGGGAUUUUCAUGUUCUUCCUUCUUGUAAUAGGUGCAGGACAAGUUCUCACUUCAGUGCAGAAUAGCUGGAUUAGAUUAAUUCCUCCGGGAAACGGGGAACUGGGAUGGGAGUGGAGUGCAUUCAGCUGUGGGUAAUUGAACACUGAAUGAAAAGUUAAGUGAAGUAAGGCCAAUAUACACCCUGUGCCCACUAGGAAAUAUCAGGCUUGGACAUCUCCUCUGAUUUGAGGCUAAAUAAAAUGGGAAAUGCAUGGCGCCUCAGAAAAUACACCCUGACAGAAGAUAAAAGGAACAAAAUUGCAUAAUUCAGAAGAAAAGCAUAACUUUGGAAAUAAUUUUAACAGGAACCCAAAUACAGUUUUAGAAAACAAAUCGCCAUCAAUACACUGCCUGUAUGAAACCUGAGAGAGAAAUCCGUAGAGGAAUAAGGAAGACAAUGUAGAAAACAAACCCAGACCAAACAAAACAGAAGCAGAAUAUAUAAGAAACUGGACAACAUAAGAAUAGGCUUUAAGGAGAAAAAUGUCAAGUAGAUUGGAUAGGGAAUUUAAAAAAAAAAAAAAAAAAAGAAGCAAAAAGGAUGAGAAGGGAAA